UUGGAAUUAUUUGGUUAAUAUGUAUUUGUGGUAUUGAUCCAUAUUGUGGCAUGGACUAGUCCAUUGUCAAAUGGACUCGCAAUUAUACUUCUUGUAGAUUUAUUUUCCAUUGUCUUGGUAGUGACAAGUAUUUUCUUAUGAGAUUAAAAGUAGAAAAGCAAUAACCGCAUUACAUAGGGAAUUUAUUGUAAUCAACUUGUAUAUGUAUUGUAUUGCCAUUCAUCAGAUUGACCAACUUAGUUGUGAUAUUAUAUAUGAUGUUUGUUGCUAGCACAAUGUAGAACUUUUAAUCCUCAUCCUUUUUAUUGCUCCAAUCUCUCUUCAAAAGUUGUUAAAGGCUUUGAACAUUGUCUCUUUUACUACUUGUGAAUUCAUCAAAG
rnacentral:lncRNA from 1 species